ACUCAAUGCCUUUUACCACUCAAUUCUCGUUUGUAAGAAUUUCAAAUGAACUAAAACAAAUCAAGAAAGAACAAGACAAGUAAAAUUCACCAAACUUCAGCCCUUGGAUGCAAGAAUUGAUAUUUUGAAACAAGUGUAUGAAACUCCUAAGGGAAAUUGAAGUGAAAUAGAAAUUUUGGAUUUUUUUUUUUUGGAUAUAUAUAUAUUUUUUUUUUCGUUUUUUUUUAGUUUAUAUGAAGUAACAACAAUGGAAAACAAAAGAUAUUGGAACUUUGCAGAUUUUUUUUUUUUUUUUGCAACUAUUUUUGUAGGACAAUGAGGAUGAAUAUGAGAGAUAUAUGAAAGGAUGAAGAAAAUAAAAGAUAGAGUUUGGAUCAAUACCAGAUUGCUCUGAUACCAAAUGAUAUGGAUAGAAGUGGACGAAGGACCCGUUGGAUAUAAUGACCCAAGAACCCGACGUAUGUGAGUAGGCAGCGGACUCCCUAGAUCGAGAAUCUAGUUUGAUCAACCCCUAAGAGCGUAGAAACCUCGACCCGUUGGC
rnacentral:lncRNA from 1 species